CCUACGGGCGGCAGCAGUGGGGAAUCUUGGGCAAUGGGCGCAAGCCUGACCCAGCAACGCCGCGUGAAGGAAGAAGGCUCUCGGGUUGUAAACUUCUUUUCAGAGGGAAGAGCAGAAGACGGUACCUCUUGAAUAAGCCACGGCUAACUACGUGCCAGCAGCCGCGGUAAUACGUAGGUGGCAAGCGUUGUCCGGAGUUACUGGGUGUAAAGGGCGUGCAGCCGGGAAGACAAGUCAGAUGUGAAAUCCCGCGGCUCAACCGGCGAACGGCAUUUGAAACUGUGUGACUUGAGUACCGGAGAGGUCAUCGGAAUUCCUGGUGUAGCGGGGAAAUGCGUAGAUAUAAGGAAGAACACUAGGGGCGAAGGCGGAUGACUGGACGGCAACUGACGGUGAGGCGCGAAGGCGUGGGGAGCAAACAGGAUUAGAUACCCGAGUAGUC
rnacentral:rRNA from 1 species